rnacentral:rRNA from 1 species
UGAGUAACACGUAUCCAACCUGCCGUCUACUCUUGGCCAGCCUUCUGAAAGGAAGAUUAAUCAGAUGGCAUCAUGAGUUCACAUGUCCGCAUGAUUAAAGGUAUUUUCCGGUAGACGAUGGGGAUGCGUUCCAUUAGAUAGUAGGCGGGGUAACGGCCCACCUAGUCAACGAUGGAUAGGGGUUCUGAGAGGAAGGUCCCCCACAUUGGAACUGAGACACGGUCCAA